UCGAGCGGAAACGAUGGAGCUUGCUCCAGGCGUCGAGCGGCGGACGGGUGAGUAAUGCAUAGGAAUCUGCCCGGUAGUGGGGGAUAACCUGGGGAAACCCAGGCUAAUACCGCAUACGUCCUACGGGAGAAAGCAGGGGAUCUUCGGACCUUGCGCUAUCGGAUGAGCCUAUGUCGGAUUAGCUUGUUGGUGAGGUAAUGGCUCACCAAGGCGACGAUCCGUAGCUGGUCUGAGAGGAUGAUCAGCCACAUCGGGACUGAGACACGGCCCGAACUCCUACGGGAGGCAGCAGUGGGGAAUAUUGGACAAUGGGCGAAAGCCUGAUCCAGCCAUGCCGCGUGUGUGAAGAAGGCUUUCGGGUUGUAAAGCACUUUCAGUGAGGAAGAACGCCUCGGGGCCAAUACCCCCGAGGAAAGACAUCACUCACAGAAGAAGCACCGGCUAACUCCGUGCCAGCAGCCGCGGUAAUACGGAGGGUGCAAGCGUUAAUCGGAAUUACUGGGCGUAAAGCGCGCGUAGGUGGCCUGAUAAGCCGGUUGUGAAAGCCCCGGGCUCAACCUGGGAACGGCAUCCGGAACUGUCAGGCUAGAGUGCAGGAGAGGAAGGUAGAAUUCCCGGUGUAGCGGUGAAAUGCGUAGAGAUCGGGAGGAAUACCAGUGGCGAAGGCGGCCUUCUGGACUGACACUGACACUGAGGUGCGAAAGCGUGGGUAGCAAACAGGAUUAGAUACCCUGGUAGUCCACGCCGUAAACGAUGUCGACUAGCCGUUGGGGUCC
rnacentral:rRNA from 1 species